rnacentral:rRNA from 1 species
GUUGCUUCAGGUUCUUGGAUGAUGAACCUGUGUGGGAGCCCGGUAUGCUCCAACCAAGAUGCACUCCCAUGUGCAUGGAACGAAAUAUUCGACUCCUCCACCUGCACGAAUCAUCUGGUGGGGUUUGGCGCCGGCGCGCUGCUCAUACUCGCGCUCGCGCUCCACCUGCUUGUCAAAAUUCCUAGGAGCAGAGCGUCUGCGCGGCAGCUUUCCACACCCAGCUCACCGCUGCAGUUGGCUGCAGUGGUUUUCAGUGGCUGCCUAGGUUUGGUUUAUCUUGGCCUAGGGCUGUGGAUGCUGGGGAACUUCUUCAGUCUGGAUUCUCCUGUUUACCUGCCGCACUGGUGGCUCGUGACAUUAUCUCAAGGAUUCUGUUUGAUCCUUGCCAGCUUCGCUUUCAGCAUCAGGCCUCGAUUUCUUGGAGCUGCACUCGUUCGAUUUUGGUCUGUCGUGCUGGCCAUCUAUGCGGCAUUCAUCUCUUGUUCCUCGGCUCAUCACAUCGUUGCAGAGAAAGCGAUCACCAUCAAGGCUUGCUUAGAUGUUCUGUCCCUACCAGGUGCAAUAAUCUUCCUUCUUUAUGGCUUUCUGCACAGCCACGAGGAAGAGGCUUAUGGAGGAGCCGGAAAUGGUUUAUAUAAGCCCCUGGGCAUGGAGACAGAAGGUGAGGUAGCUAAUUCAGAGAAUGAGGUAACUCCCUUUGCUAAAGCUGGUUUCCUCAGCGAAAUGUCAUUUUGGUGGUUGAAUCCUUUACUGAAGAUGGGUUAUGAGAAGCCCCUUGAGGACAAAGACAUUCCACUUUUAAGCCCUAAAGAUCGAGCACAAAGCCAGUACUUGAUGUUCAUGGAGAAGCUGGAUAGCAAGAAGCAGUUGCAGUCACAUGCUGCACCAUCAUUCUUCUGGACUAUUGUUUCUUGUCACAAGCGUGCAAUCAUGGUCUCAGGUUUCUUUGCUUUGCUCAAGAUUCUUACCUUAUCUGCAGGCCCGUUGCUUCUGAAAGCAUUCAUCAAUGCAUCAAUUGGGAAAGAAACCUUUAAGUAUGAAGGCUUUGUGCUGACUGCCACAUUGUUUGUCUGCAAAUGCUGUGAAUCGUUGUCGCAGAGACAGUGGUAUUUCCGCACACGGAGAUUAGGACUCCAGGUAAGAUCAUUUCUGUCAGCAGCUAUUUAUAAGAAGCAACAGAAUCUAUCAAAUGCAGCAAAAAUGGAGCACUCUUCUGGAGAAAUUAUGAACUAUGUGACUGUCGAUGCCUACCGGAUUGGGGAAUUCCCAUACUGGUUCCAUCAAACAUGGACAACAACUGUUCAGCUUUGCAUUGCUCUGGCAAUUCUGUAUAACGCAGUUGGUGCUGCAAUGGUUUCAUCGCUGGUUGUCAUCAUUAUCACCGUACUCUGCAAUGCUCCUUUGGCCAAACUCCAGCACAAAUUUCAGAGUAAACUUAUGGAAGCACAAGAUGUUAGAUUGAAGGCCAUGACUGAAUCCUUAGUUCAUAUGAAGGUAUUGAAACUUUAUGCAUGGGAAGCUCACUUCAAGAAGGUCAUAGAGGGGUUAAGGGAGGUUGAGUACAAGUGGUUGUCAGCAUUCCAGCUUAGGAGGGCUUACAACAGUGUCCUGUUUUGGUCAUCACCUGUUUUGGUUUCGGCGGCAACCUUUCUAACAUGCUAUCUUUUGAAAACCCCUCUUGACGCUAGCAAUGUCUUCACAACUGUGGCCACUCUGCGUCUCGUGCAAGAUCCAGUUAGGUCAAUACCAGACGUUAUUGCAGUUGUGGUACAAGCUAAGGUUGCUUUCACUCGGAUAUCGAAGUUUCUUGAUGCACCAGAGCUGAACCGGCAAAUUGGGAAGAAAUACUGUGUGAGCAUCGAUUAUCCAAUAGCGAUGAACUCAUGUGGUUUCUCGUGGGAUGGGAAUCCAUCAAGGCCAAUUCUAAAGAACAUAAAUUUGACAAUCAAAACUGGAGAAAAGGUAGCAAUUUGUGGAGAGGUGGGAUCAGGAAAGUCAACCCUUUUGGCUGCUGUACUCGGAGAGGUAUCCAAAACUGAAGGCACGAUUCAAGUCUGCGGGAAAAUAGCAUAUGUUUCUCAGACUGCAUGGAUCCAAACAGGAACUGUACAAGAUAAUAUCCUCUUUGGAUCUUUGAUGGACAAGCAAAUGUACGAAGAAACACUUGCAAGGUGCUCAUUGGUCAAGGACCUUGAAAUGUUGCCGUUCGGUGACCUUACUCAAAUUGGAGAGAGAGGAGUAAAUCUUAGUGGUGGUCAGAAGCAGCGUAUUCAGCUUGCUCGUGCACUAUACCAGAAUGCAGACAUCUAUCUUCUUGAUGACCCUUUCAGUGCUGUCGAUGCCCAUACAGCAACAAGUCUCUUUAAUGAUUAUGUCAUGGGCAUUUUAUCAGACAAGACUGUUCUUUUGGUGACCCACCAAGUGGAUUUUCUACCUGUAUUUGACUCCAUUCUGUUAAUGUUAGAUGGGGAGGUUAUUCGGUCUGCACCUUAUCAAGAUCUAUUGGCAGACUGUCAACAAUUUAUGGACCUUGUAAAUGCGCAUAAUGAUACCGUUAGUGAUUCAAAUCUUAGUAGUAUGGCCUCUCAAAGAGUAAUGGAAAUACCAAGAAAAGAGACAGGUGAUAUUCGUGGAAACAGAUAUACAGAGGCUGUGAAGCCAUCACCAGUAGAUCAAUUGAUCAAGAGAGAGGAAAGGGAAUCAGGGGAUACAGGUCUUAAGCCUUAUAUGCUUUACCUGCGCCAGAACAAAGGCUUCUUGUAUGCCUCUCUUUCUGUUAUUUGUCACAUAAUUUUCUUAGCUGGUCAAAUUUCACAGAAUUCACGGAUGGCUGCUAAUGUCCAAAAUGCUCGUGUUAGUACACUGAAGUUAAUUUCUGUGUACAUUGUUAUCGGAAUCUGCACCAUUUUCUUUGUGCUAUCACGAUCUUUGUUCCUCGUUGUUCUCGGAGUCCAGACUUCAAGAUCCUUGUUUUCCCAGUUGCUCAAUUCAUUGUUCCGUGCACCUAUGACCUUUUUUGAUUCUACUCCUCUAGGCAGGAUUCUUAGCCGGGUCUCUUCAGAUUUGAGUAUCAUUGAUCUUGAUGUUCCAUUUGCCUUCAUGUUUACCUUUAGUGCCAGCUUAACUGCAUAUAGCAAUCUGGUAGUAUUGGCUGUUGUUACAUGGCAAGUUCUGUUUGUAUCAUUGCCGAUGAUAUUUUUGGCAAUUCGGUUGCAGAGGUACUAUUUAGCCUCAGCUAAGGAAUUGAUGCGGAUUAAUGGCACUACCAAGUCUGCCCUAGCAAAUCACUUAGGUGAAUCGAUUUCAGGGGUUAUAACAAUACGUGCCUUUGAGGAACAAGAUCGUUUCUUUGCUCAAAAUUUGGAGCUAGUCGACAAGAAUGCUAGUCCAUACUUUUAUAAUUCUGCAGCUACUGAAUGGUUGAUUCAGCGCCUGGAAACAAUGAGUGCUGCGGUUCUUUCUUCUGCUUUUGUCAUGGCUCUUCUUCCUCAAGGAACUUUUAGCCCCGGUUUUGUUGGAAUGGCAUUCUCUUAUGGUCUUUCCCUAAAUAAUACUCUUGUUAACUCUAUUCAAAGGCAAUGCAGCCUUGCGAAUCAAAUAAUAUCUGUGGAAAGGGUGAACCACUACAUGGACAUACAAAGUGAACCAGAAGUUAUUGAAGAAAACCGUCCGGCACCAGAUUGGCCCCAAGUCGGCAGUGUGGAGCUUAGAGAUUUGAAGAUUAGGUACAGGGAAGACGCACCCCUUGUACUACAUGGUAUCACUUGCAAGUUUGAAGGUGGAGACAAGAUUGGUAUAGUUGGUCGAACAGGAAGUGGCAAGACAACUUUAAUUGGUGCAUUGUUCUGCCUUGUUGAACCUGCUGGAGGGAAAAUAAGUAUUGACUCUGUGGACAUCACUAUGGGCUUACAUGACCUGCGUUCGUGUUUGGGCAUCAUUCCCCAAGAUCCAACACUUUUUCAGGGUACAGUAAGAUAUAAUCUGGAUCCUCUUGGGAAGUUCUCGGAUCAACAAAUAUGGGAGGUUCUUGACAAAUGUCAACUUCUUGAAGCCGUCCAGGAGAAGGAACAGGGAUUGGAUUCACUUGUUGCGGAAAACGGGUCAAACUGGAGCAUGGGCCAAAGGCAGCUCUUUUGUUUGGGUCGCACACUUUUGAGAAGGUGCCGUAUCUUAGUUCUUGAUGAAGCCACGGCCUCUAUAGACAACGCGACAGAUGCGAUCCUUCAGAAAACAAUCCGGACAGAAUUCAGACAUUGCACCGUUAUUACAGUCGCGCACCGUAUCCCAACAGUUAUGGACUGCGAUAUGGUACUUGCAAUGAGUGAUGGGAAAGCAGUGGAGUAUGAUAAACCUGCGAAGCUCAUGGAAACUGAAGGAUCUCUCUUCCGCGAACUGGUCAACGAGUAUUGGUCAUACACAUCGAACGGAAACAAUUAG